UACAGAGGGUGCAAGCGUUGUUCGGAAUCAUUGGGCUUAAAGAGCGCGCAGGCGGUCGUUCAAGUCGAGUGUGAAAGCCCCCGGCUCAACUGGGGAGGGUCACGCGAUACUGAUCGACUCGAAGGCAGGAGAGGGUAGUGGAAUUCCCGGUGUAGUGGUGAAAUGCGUAGAUAUCGGGAGGAACACCAGUGGCGAAGGCGACUACCUGGCCUGUUUCUUGACGCUGAGGCGCGAAAGCUAGGGGAGCAAACGGG
rnacentral:rRNA from 1 species